rnacentral:rRNA from 1 species
UACGGGGGGGGCAAGCGUUGUCCGGAAUUAUUGGGCGUAAAGAGCUCGUAGGCGGUCUGUUGCGUCCGCUGUGAAAACUCGGGGCUUAACCCCGAGCCUGCAGUGGAUACGGGCAGACUAGAGGUAGGUAGGGGAGAAUGGAAUUCCCGGUGUAGCGGUGAAAUGCGCAGAUAUCGGGAGGAACACCGGUGGCGAAGGCGGUUCUCUGGGCCUUACCUGACGCUGAGGAGCGAAAGCGUGGGGAGCGAACAGG